AGUUUCGACCUCAUCAUGGAGUUAGUGAGGCCAGGUUUUCUCGGAUCCAUCUGGCCGGAUUUGGGAUGAUCAUCCAACCCUCUUCGUCGUCUUCUUCUCCGGGACGGUGGUUUGUUUCUCAAAUCAUUGUCGCCGACGUCUUCUGGCUCUGACCGGCGACUGCUGCUACGUCAACAACGUUUUUCUGACUUCAACGUGGUUCGAAGGUCUAGAGGCAGCAUCGAGCUUCGCGCAUGGCGCACCGCUGGCGAGUGCAAGAGGAAGAAAACGACGUUUACCCACAAGAACUUACCCGUAAUUUCAUUUUACUUUAAAGAUGGUUUUGUAAGAGUUGGUUGAUUUAAUACGUGGCCUUGGUCAUUUCAAAAAAAAAAAGACGUCACUCUCAAGAGCACAUAGUUAAAACAAAAAAAACUAUGUAUCCAGAGACGAGUGAAUCCUGCUGAAACUGAACGGUGGAUAGAGCAAAACUGCAGCGGCUAGGAUUUAGCAUGCGCACUCUUGGAUUUGGAUUUUUUUUUAGAGGACUUGGAUUUGGAUAGGCGGGCAGACGUGAAUGGGUGGGCCGUUUAUCUCCUCGACCCAGGAGUGACUGUGCU
rnacentral:lncRNA from 1 species